GGCGAGGUAGCUCAGUUGGUUAGAGCACUGGAUUCAUAACCCAGAGGUCAAGAGUUCAAAUCUCUUUCUCGCUACAA
rnacentral:tRNA from 1 species